CCUACGGGAGGCUGCAGUGAGGAAUAUUGGUCAAUGGGCGCUAGCCUGAACCAGCCAAGUAGCGUGAAGGAUGACUGCCCUAUGGGUUGUAAACUUCUUUUAUAUGGGAAUAAAGUGCAGUAUGUAUACGGCUUUGCAUGUACCUUAUGAAUAAGGAUCGGCUAACUCCGUGCCAGCAGCCGCGGUAAUACGGAGGAUCCGAGCGUUAUCCGGAUUGAUUGGGUUGAAAGGGAGCGUAGGCGGGUUGUUAAGUCUGUUUUGAAAGUUUGCGGCUCAACCGUAAAAUGGCAGUUGAUACUGGCAUCCUUGCGUACAGUAGAGGUCGGCUGAAUUCGUUGUGUCGCGGUUCAAUGCUUAGAUCUCACG
rnacentral:rRNA from 1 species